UACAGAGGUCUCAAGCGUUGUUCGGAUUCAUUGGGCGUAAAGGGUGCGUAGGUGGCGCCGUAAGUCAGGUGUGAAAUUUCGGAGCUUAACUCCGAAAUUGCAUUCGAUACUGCCGUGCUUGAGGACUGGAGAGGAGACUGGAAUUCAUGGUGUAGCAGUGAAAUGCGUAGAGAUCAUGAGGAAGACCAGUGGCGAAGGCGGGUCUCUGGACAGUUCCUGACGCUGAGGAGCGAAAGUGUGGGGAGCGAACAGG
rnacentral:rRNA from 1 species